rnacentral:lncRNA from 1 species
GACAAUCAAUUAGAUUACAAUAAUCUAAUCAUUCAUUAAUAAAGAACAAUGUUUUGUCAAACCAAACAUUCAUCCAUCUCUUAUAGUGAUGGAAUUAAGUUUCUUAAAAUUUGGAAUGUAAAGACAAUCUAUGGUUUUUCAAAUUUCUUUGGUAGUUCAUAUGAGGAAGUAAGUACCAUCUGCUUUCGCAGAGAUCUACACUUGAUUCACGUUCCGAAUGUGAAGUACUUUCUCUUCUCUUAUUAAUCUUCUACUUUUUAUUAGCCACACUUUUACAACGAUUGUAAAACAUAGUUACUAAUACGGAAUCAAGCAUUCAAGUAGAAGAACCAACUGUUUUGAACUUUUCAAAAACAAUUUACAACACCUUCGAAAGGUGUGUUCUUGACACUUGCAAGACAUUUCUUGCAAAUACCCCUUCAAAUGUCCAUCCUUUCAUAAAGAAAGUUUGUUCCCUUGGAGUUUAUUUCGUUUUCUUCAUUUGACUUCUCCUUUGACUACAAUAGUCAUGGUCCCUAAACUCUCACUAUCUCUCUUGAAACUUAUUUCAAUUGUGUUAUACACAUCAAACGAUUUGGAGAGUGUGUGGUUAUUGUUCACUAUAUAGUUUACAAUGAACUUAGUGAACCAUUUGGAAAGGGACACAAAGGUGAAGUCCUUGCCUAGUUUCCGUUUCUAGAAGUGGUUUAACACUUCAACACUCA